UCAUACGUAGGACCCAAGCGUUAUCCGGAUUGACUGGGCGUAAAGAGUUGCGUAGGUGGUUUGUUAAGCGAAUAGUGAAAUCUUGUGGCUCAACCAUAAGGCUAUUAUUCGAACUGGCAAACUCGAGAACAGGAGAGGUAUCUGGAAUUCCCAGUGUAGGAGUGAAAUCCGUAGAUAUUGGGAGGAACACCAAUGGCGUAGGCAGGAUACUGGACUGUUUCUGACACUAAGGCACGAAAGCGUGGGGAGCGAACUGGAUUAGAUACCCAGGUAGUCCACGCUGUAAACUAUGGAUGCUAGCAGUAAGCCGUAUCGACCCGGUUUGUUGCGAAGCUAACGCGUUAAGCAUCCCGCCUGGGUAGUACGAACGCAAGUUUA
rnacentral:rRNA from 1 species